AGUGAACGCUGGCGGUAGGCCUAACACAUGCAAGUCGAACGGCAGCACAGGAGAGCUUGCUCUCUGGGUGGCGAGUGGCGGACGGGUGAGGAAUACAUCGGAAUCUACUUUUUCGUGGGGGUUAACGUAGGGAAACUUACGCUAAUACCGCAUACGACCUACGGGUGAAAGCAGGGGACCUUCGGGCCUUGCGCGAUUGAAUGAGCCGAUGUCGGAUUAGCUAGUUGGCGGGGUAAAGGCCCACCAAGGCGACGAUCCGUAGCUGGUCUGAGAGGAUGAUCAGCCACACUGGAACUGAGACACGGUCCAGACUCCUACGGGAGGCAGCAGUGGGGAAUAUUGGACAAUGGGCGCAAGCCUGAUUCAGCCAUACCGCGUGGGUGAAGAAGGCCUUCGGGUUGUAAAGCCCUUUUGUUGGGAAAGAAAUCCAGCUGGCUAAUACCCGGUUGGGAUGACGGUACCCAAAGAAUAAGCACCGGCUAACUUCGUGCCAGCCGCCGCAGUAA
rnacentral:rRNA from 1 species